CUCUCCCUAAGCACACACCUGUGGCUUCAACCUCACCUCGGAUGUCAAACGGGAAAAAGGGGAGGACGGUAUAGUAAGUUACCGGGGAGUAUGGGGCUGGGGGAGGGAGAUGUGGGGUAGUGGGCCGGGGGGAGGAUCGCGAUGCUGGGCGCGGGCAGACUGGCAGCAGAGUCGCGCACAGCGUCAGUCUGGCGCAGCGCCUCGUGCAGUACAGGCACGGCACCACGUCUUCUGCGGCAACUCUGAGCCCACUUGACCUGCAUCGCUUAAGGGACCUGACGCGGCGCCCACCUCUCUCCAGCCGCCCCAAGAAGAGAGGGAGGAAGGUAAACGGACAGGAAAGGGAACGAGGAAGUGAAGGGAAGAGCUGAGAGCACGCUGCCUGGUACUCGCCGUGUUUAUAGGACUAAUGGAAUGGUGAGGGGUGGGCAGCGGGCAUCCGCACCCCCCGCCUCACCUUUACGAGUCCCUGGGUGUCGGCCACGCCUCGUCAACACGGCAACUUUUAGGACAGCGGCAGCAAAAAUGGCCAGCAACAUCUACAGUACCAGUACCACCACUACCAUCACCAUCACCAUCACCACCACCACCAACAACAGCAAGAACAACGACAUCAUCAUCAACAUGAGCAACAUCAAGAGCAGCAACAAUAACAACAACAACAACAACAACAACAACAACAACAACAACAACAACAUCACCACUACCACUACAACCACAACCACCAUCACCACUACUACCACCAGUACCACCACCAACACCAACAACAACGACAAAAGAAGGACUCAUCAUCACAAAAACAAACACAUGGUACAAGCGAAAAAUUUAAUAACAACACUUAAAACACAAAAUCAAACAGAUCAAUGAAAAUAAAUAAAUAAAAUAAAUAAAUCACAAAAUCUGGAAUAAAAACACCUCAGGGUAGAUCAAUGAACACAGGUGAACACUGACCCAAAGUGAAAAAUGUAGAGAAUCACCAGGGAAGGAGAGGAACAACACGGACAUCACGGAGGAAGGAAACAAAAGUACCAAACAGCGUGAACCAGGAUUACGAAAAGGGAGCGGUUUAGCUGAGGUUUACUUCGGGUCUAGUACAGGAUUAGGCUCAACUGUCUAUCUACCUGGCUAAUUGGCUUUUUCUGCCUGUAUGGCUGUCUGUUCGUAAGUCGGUUCCAUUUAGAAAUUCUCUCUCUCUCUCUCUCUCUCUCUCUCUCUCUCUCUCUCUCUCUCUCUCUCUCUCUCUCUCUCUCUCUCUCUCUCUCUCUCUCUCUCUCUCUCUCUCCAUUUUUAUCAACCAUUUUGUCUGAUUAUAAAACUUAUUCCCAUAACAAUUUUUUAUUUAACUCUUUUCUUUCAAUGUUUACUUGUUUGUCUCCCCCAGUAACUUUUUUAUAACUAUUGACUGAACCGUUUUUCCCAUCUGUUUGUCUCUUUUCCCUCAGUGUUUGUGCAGCUGCCUUCCUUACUAUCUGUCUGUUUGUCUGUGUUUAUCGCUUCACCUGUCUGUCUCUCUCUGUUUGCAUGUCUCUGUCUAUUAUCCUGCCUGUCUGCCUGUUUGUCUGUUUGUUUUACCUGUCUGUGUAUGUGCCUAUUUGUGUCUGUCUGUCCAUAUGGCUGUCGAUCUACCCGCUCUUCCUGUUUUUUUUUUUCCGUCUGCCUAUCUGUCUGCCUGUCUGUUUGCCUGUGUGUCUGUCUGUCUAUCUCUCAGCCUGCCUGACUUCCUGUCCAUCUGGUUGUCUGUCUAUUCACCUGUCUAUUUACUUUAUCUGUUUGUCUGUCUACUUGCUUAUUUGUCUGUCUGUCUGUUUUGCUAGCCUGCCUGUUUGCCCGUCUGUCUGCUUGUCAAAAGAACAUUAGAAUAUAAGAGAAUAAGGGAAACUGCAAGAAGUCAUGAAGCCUACACAUGGCAGCCCUUGUAAAUAUAACAGAUGAUUCAUGUUGUCUAUUUGCUUGUUGGGUUGCCUGUCUCCCUGUCUGUCUGCCUGUCUGUGUCUGUCUCUCAGCAUAAAUUUCCACACAAAUAAGCAAUAAGGAGACGAACCGUAGCUAAGUUUGGUCAUACUAAUUUUAAGGAACUUCCGGCACCCUCUGAGUCACGGGGAUAACUUGGGUCAUAAAUCUGAGGGCGCGUCUUCAUUCAUCCCUCUCGUGUGAUCGAUGCUGCUGCUCCAACGCACGACGGAAGGAGCGACUGCCGAGAUAAGAAGCCGUAUCCUCAAACACCUCGCCGCCUUAUCUCGACUCCCUUCAACAGCCUCUAGUGGGAGUUAUUGGGUUUUCAAGGGUGUUUUCAUCAUUCAAGAGUGUUUUUCGGGAUUUUAGUGAUGGUUUAAUAUGUAUUCUGUCUCAUUAGUGGGGAAAAAAAAAACAUUAAUGAAAACCAGACUGAUUACGGUUCAAAAAGUCUUUUCAUAAUUGCUUUGAUAAUCUAAUAAGUAUUCUGCAUCAUCAAUGGGGAAAAAUACCAAUGAGAACAGAACUCAUCAUUAUUCAAGAGUGUUUUCGCGAAAUUAAUGGUAAUUUGCCUAGAAUUCUUCAUUACCAAUUUUGAAAACACUAAAGGUAACCCCUCCUCAUCACGAUUCAAAGGUUAAUUUCACGUCUGGUGAUAAUUUAACUAAUUGAAGAGUGUUUCUUUGAUUUCAGUGAUAAUUUAACAUGGAUUCUGUACCAUUAA